rnacentral:tRNA from 1 species
GCCGCGGUAGCUCAGUUGGUAGAGCAUGCGACUGAAAAUUGCAGGGUCACCAGUUCAACCCUGGUCUGCGGCACCA